UACGGAAGGCAGCAGUGGGGAAUAUUGCACAAUGGGCGCAAGCCUGAUGCAGCCAUGCCGCGUGUAUGAAGAAGGCCUUCGGGUUGUAAAGUACUUUCAGUCGUGAGGAAGGUGUUAAGGUUAAUAACCUUAGCAAUUGACGUUAGCGACAGAAGAAGCACCGGCUAACUCCGUGCCAGCAGCCGCGGUAAUACGGAGGGUGCGAGCGUUAAUCGGAAUUACUGGGCGUAAAGGGCACGCAGGCGGUUAAUUAAGUUGGAUGUGAAAUCCCCGGGCUUAACCUGGGAAUGGCAUUCAAGACUGGUUAGCUAGAGUCUUGUAGAGGGGGUAGAAUUCCAUGUGUAGCGGUGAAAUGCGUAGAGAUGUGGAGGAAUACCGGUGGGCGAAGGCGGCCCCUGGGACAAAGCUGACGCUCA
rnacentral:rRNA from 1 species